GAGUGUUCGGGCUGCGGAGGCGCGCAUGGGCUCAACCGGUGCUUCAAAAAAGGGAAGUCGGGGCACACCGGGGUCCCUACCUCGGCUGGGGGGGGAGGGGGAGUUUCGCUUGCCCCGGGGCCUAACCCCGGUGAGGCUAGACGCGAUGGAGCCGUGGCUAAGCCGCUACGGUAAUAAGGCAGAUGCCGUGGCGCUCCGGGUGGGGUUUGGUCAGGGGUUCUUUAUCCCUUUCCGGAACCGGGGGGGGACUGGAGUUCGGCGCAACCUUAAAUCGGUGGCUGAGUUCCCGGGUGUGGUGCGGGAAAAACUGGGCAAGGAAGUCAAAUUGGGGAGGAUGGCAGGGCCGUUCCCGGCUCCUCCAUUGGAGGGUCUGCGGGUUUCCCCGCUCGGGGUGGUUCCCAAGAAGGAACCGGGCAAAUUCAGGCUCAUUCACCACCUCUCCUACCCGGAAGGAGAGUCGGUGAAUGAUGAUAUUGACAAGGGCUUGUGCUCGGUCUCAUACGCAUCAUUCGACAGGGCGGUCGAGCUGGUAAGGAAGGCCGGGCGCGGAGCACUGUUGGCUAAGGUGGAUAUUGAAGCAGCGUUUCGGCUGCUUCCGGUCCACCCAGCGUGUCAUCACUUGCUGGGGUGUUUCUUCGACGGGGGGUACUUUGUGGAUUUGUGCCUUCCAAUGGGUUGUGCUAUCUCCUGCG